AACAGAUAAAAACCAGCACAUCCACAACGCAAUCUUGGUCAGGCUCUUCCCUCACUGAACACUACAGGGAAGUCUGCUUUCUGGUUAACUGUCAUUCUGCAUAGCCUGAUGGACUAAAACUUCCUCAACAGGACGGAUCAUGAGCAGGUUUUAACUUUCUGAGCAGCAUGUGCCGAGAGCUGACCUGCUGGCCUCACUCCACAGGCCUGCUUCUCUUGCAGUGUCCUGUCUUGAGAGCUUCCUAUAUUGGACAUCUGAAGCCUCCAUACUCAGCAGACAAAGACUGCUGGGGUGUGAAGCCCUUGGUCUGAUGCUGCCAGACACAUGCUACACUGACUAUCCCUGCACACAGCUUGAUGCUUUCUUCCCAGGUGCCUGAAGGAUCUCUUUAAAGUGCAAAUAUUAACAGGUUGAUCUGAUGGUGAUGGUGAUGAUAAGGGCGAAGGUAAGGGUUUGAG